rnacentral:rRNA from 1 species
AGAGUUUGAUCAUGGCUCAGGACGAACGCUGGCGGCGUGCUUAACACAUGCAAGUCGAACGGAAAGGCCCUUCGGGGUACUCGAGUGGCGAACGGGUGAGUAACACGUGGGUGAUCUGCCCUGCACUUUGGGAUAAGCCUGGGAAACUGGGUCUAAUACCGAAUAGGACCGCGCGCUUCAUGGUGUGUGGUGGAAAGCUUUUGCGGUGUGGGAUGGGCCCGCGGCCUAUCAGCUUGUUGGUGGGGUAAUGGCCUACCAAGGCGACGACGGGUAGCCGGCCUGAGAGGGUGACCGGCCACACUGGGACUGAGAUACGGCCCAGACUCCUACGGGAGGCAGCAGUGGGGAAUAUUGCACAAUAGGCGCAAGCCUGAUGCAGCGACGCCGCGUGAGGGAUGACGGCCUUCGGGUUGUAAACCUCUUUCAAUAGGGACGAAGCGCAAGUGACGGUACCUAUAGAAGAAGCACCGGCCAACUACGUGCCAGCAGCCGCGGUAAUACGUAGGGUGCGAGCGUUGUCCGGAAUUACUGGGCGUAAAGAGCUCGUAGGUGGUUUGUCGCGUUGUUCGUGAAAACUCACAGCUUAACUGUGGGCGUGCGGGCGAUACGGGCAGACUAGAGUACUGCAGGGGAGACUGGAAUUCCUGGUGUAGCGGUGGAAUGCGCAGAUAUCAGGAGGAACACCGGUGGCGAAGGCGGGUCUCUGGGCAGUAACUGACGCUGAGGAGCGAAAGCGUGGGGAGCGAACAGGAUUAGAUACCCCGGUAGUCCAA